rnacentral:rRNA from 1 species
CGAAGCGUGUGCUAAGUGGAAAGGAUGUGGAGUCGCAUAGACAGCCAGAGUUUGGCUCAGAAGCAGCCAUCCUUGAAAGAGUGCGUAACAGCUCACUGGUCUAGUGGUCCGCGCCGACAAUGUAGCGGGGCUCAAGCACACCACCGAAGACGCGGCAGCACUUUUUGGUGCUGGUAGGAGAGCGUCCCGCGUGGGGCGAAGCGGCCGGGGAACCGUGCCGUGGACCGCGCGGGAGUGAGAAUGCAGACAUGAGUAGCGAGAGACGGGUGAGGAUCCCGUCCGCUGGAUGACCAAGGGUUCCGGGGCCACGUUCGUCGUCCCCGGGUGAGUCGGGUCCUAAGGCGAGGCCGACAGGCGUAGUCGAAUGGAUGAACGGGUGGAUAUUCCCGUACCGGCGGCGUACCGUAAGAGCCGAACGGAUGAGUACUAACCUCCGGUCGCGUGGCGUCGUUCCCUUCGGGGUUCGGGGUCCGCGGUCGUUGGGAGCGUAGUCCUGGUAGGCUAGCGCACAGGGGUGACACGGAAUGGGAGCCGGCCGCGGAGGUGGUUUUCCGUGGUCAAGCACGCAGCCCGUCCCAUAGGCAAAUCCGUGGGACGCAUAGGGUGAGGUGUGAUGAUGGGCGUCCUUUGGACGCGAUAUCCGGUGGUCCAGGCCGUCGAGAAAAGCCUCGGCGCGAGGGGCGUCGCCGCCCGUACCCCAAACCGACACUGGUGGUCAGGUAGAGAAUACCAAGGCGAUCGAGCGAAUCCUGGUCAAGGAACUCGGCAAAUCACUCCCGUGCCUUCGGUAUAAGGGAGACCCCCGGGCGUGAAGAGGCUUGCCCUCGGAGCGUUGGGGGGUGGCACAGACCAGGGGGUAGCGACUGUUUACCAAAAACACAGGUGCAUGCGAAGGCGCAAGCCGCUGUAUAUGCACUGACGCCUGCCCGGUGCCGGAAGGUUAAGAGGAUCCGUCAGCCCCUUUUGGGGUGAAGCGGUGAAUUCAAGCCCCGGUAAACGGCGGUGGUAACUAUAACCAUCCUAAGGUAGCGAAAUUCCUUGUCGGGUAAGUUCCGACCUGCACGAAUGGCGUAACGACUUCCCCACUGUCUCGACCAGGAGCUCGGCGAAAUUGCAGUACGAGUAAAGAUGCUCGUUAAGCGCAGAAGGACGAAAAGACCCCGGGACCUUUACUAUACCUUGGUAUUGGCGUUAGGCGCGGAUUGUGUAGCAUAGGCGGGAGGCUUCGAAGCAUGGGCGCCAGCCCGUGUGGAGCCGCAAGGUGAAAUACCGCUCUGUUCUCGUUUGACGUCUAACCUCGAACAGUCAUCCUGUUCAGGGACAGUGCCUGGCGGGUAGUUUAACUGGGGCGGUUGCCUCCCAAAGAGUAACGGAGGCGCUCAAAGGUCCGCUCAGCCCGGUUGGCAAUCGGGUUUCGAGUGUAAUCGCACAAGCGGGCUUGACUGCGAGAACGACGGUUCGGGCAGGGACGAAAGUCGGAGAUAGUGAUCCGGUGCCGGCGCACGGGCGCGGCAUCGCUCAACGGAUAAAAGGUACCCCGGGGAUAACAGGCUGAUCAUUCCCAAGAGUCCAUAUCGACGGGAUGGUUUGGCACCUCGAUGUCGGCUCGUCGCAUCCUGGGGCUGGAGCAGGUCCCAAGGGUUCGGCUGUUCGCCGAUUAAAGCGGCACGCGAGCUGGGUUCAGAACGUCGUGAGACAGUUUGGUCUCUAUCCUCUGCGCUCGUUGGAAUCCUGAGGAGGCCUGCCCAUAGUACGAGAGGACCUGGGUGGACGGACCUCUGGUAUGCCGGUUGUCGCGCCAGCGGCAUGGCCGGUUGGCUACGUUCGGGAGGGAUAACCGCUGAAAGCAUCUAAGCGGGAAGCCUGCUCCAAGAUUAGGAUUCCUUGACGCUCCCCGGAGCGUUUGUAGCCCGCAUGUGGAACACGUGUUCGAUAGGCCGGAGGUGGAAGCCCCGCGAGGGGUGGAGCCGACCGGUACUAACGGGCGAACGCGGCACACU